rnacentral:rRNA from 1 species
AGAGUUUGAUCAUGGCUCAGGACGAACGCUGGCGGCGUGCCUAACACAUGCAAGUGGAGCGACGAACCGGGGCUUGCCCCGGGGCAGAGCCGCGAACGGGUGAGUAACACGUGGGUUACCUGCCCCGAUGACUGGGACAACCCGUCGAAAGACGGGCUAAUACCGGAUGUGCCCCUUGGGGGAAAGGAAGCUUCGGCCUCCGCAUCGGGAUGGGCCCGCGGCGCAUUAGCUUGUUGGUGGGGUAAUGGCUUACCAAGGCGACGAUGCGUAGCUGGUCUGAGAGGACGAUCAGCCACACUGGGACUGAGACACGGCCCAGACUCCUACGGGAGGCAGCAGUGGGGAAUCUUGCACAAUGCGCGAAAGCGUGAUGCAGCAACGCCGCGUGCGGGAAGAAGGCCUUAGGGUUGUAAACCGCUUUCAGUUGGGACGAAGCUUCAGUCGUUAAUAGCGGUUUGGAGUGACGGUACCUUCAGAAGAAGCGCCGGCUAACUACGUGCCAGCAGCCGCGGUAAUACGUAGGGCGCGAGCGUUGUCCGGAAUCAUUGGGCGUAAAGCGCGUGUAGGCGGCUGAGUAAGUCUGCUGUGAAAGUCCAGGGCUCAACCCUGGAAUGUCGGCGGAUACUGCUCAGCUGGAGUACGGGAGGGGCGAGUGGAAUUCCUGGUGUAGCGGUGGAAUGCGCA